UGUCUUCAGGGCGGGGUGAAAGUCCCCACCGGCGGUACAGUCCGCGACUCGCGCUUCCCGCGCGACCGAACCGGUGCGAUUCCGGUACCGACAGUUAAAGUCUGGAUGGAAGAAGAC
rnacentral:ncRNA from 1 species